rnacentral:rRNA from 1 species
GAAAAGAAACCAACAGGGAUUGCCUCAGUAGCGGCGAGUGAAGCGGCAAAAGCUCAAAUUUGAAAUCUGGCGUCUUUGGCGUCCGAGUUGUAAUUUGAAGAAGGUAUCUUUGGGCCCGGCUCUUGUCUAUGUUCCUUGGAACAGGACGUCACAGAGGGUGAGAAUCCCGUGCGAUGAGAUGACCCGGGUCUGUGUAAAGUUCCUUCGACGAGUCGAGUUGUUUGGGAAUGCAGCUCUAAGUGGGUGGUAAAUUCCAUCUAAAGCUAAAUAUUGGCGAGAGACCGAUAGCGAACAAGUACAGUGAUGGAAAGAUGAAAAGAACUUUGAAAAGAGAGUGAAAAAGUACGUGAAAUUGUUGAAAGGGAAGGGCUUGAGAUCAGACUUGGUAUUUUGCAUGCUGCUCUCUCGGGGGCGGCCGCUGCGGUUUACCGGGCCAGCAUCGGUUUGGAGCGGCAGGAUAAUGGCGGAGGAAUGUGGCACGGCUUCUGCUGUGUGUUAUAGCCUCUGACGAUACUGCCAGCCUAGACCGAGGACUGCGGUUUUUACCUAGGAUGUUGGCAUAAUGAUCUUAAGUCGCCCGUCUU